CGCCUACUCCAACAAGGCCACAGCUUCUAAUAGUGCCACUUCCUGGGCCAAGCAUAUACAAACCAUCACACGUGCUUAUAAAAAGAGAAUGAGAUAGUUGCUCCUGAAGCCCAUGCUUGCCUUUCACUUGCUUAAUAGCCAAGGAAGGCAUUCAAGGCCUGAUCCUUCUACCUCUACCUCCCUAGUGCUGGGAUUGCAGGCAUGCACCACGGCUUGGUUUCAUGCAGUGGAGGCGCAGAACCCAGGGCAUCAGUAGUGCUAAGCAAGCGCUCUACCAAUGUAUUCCCCUCCCCACUAAGCUCUUUUGUUGGGCGGUUCACAUAUGAGAUCUAAUCAUGAUAACCAACAUGCUGAAGACCAGACCCUGCAGAAGGCUACACUGCAGCUUCAGACAACCCCAGAUUGCAGCGACUUUGGAGGACAGAUUGGCUUCUUGCCGAUGCCGCCUGUUCCUGACUGAGAUAAAAGCAUCAUCACUCUCAGCAUUAUUGUCUCAGGAGCCUUGUCACAGCCGCCACCUCACCAGCCCCAUGUGCCAAAGGGAGAACAGAGUGCCCUGGAAAACCUAUCGGAAGUGAUUCAGUGCUUGACCUAGGACGCACCACUUCUGUUCCCACUUCCCUGGCCCAGAAAUGAGUGUCUUCAGCGUUUCCUGCAGUGAUAAGACUAGCAUACCUCCACCACACACUCCUAGAGUAAGGAGUGACUUCCACCUACUGGGUAAAUGAGGGGCUCCUGACAGUCACAAGCCACAAGUCACAAGUGAUCAGAGCAGUCCCAAGCUUCAUCUGUCCCCCACCACCACAGCCUUGGUAGGGGAUGACCGAGAGGAUGAAGGCUCUCUGUCUCUCUGUGUCUCAUCGGCAGGGUAACAUUGGGAGUUAGGGCCGAGGGUAAGCCAUCCCUAGAAUUGCCGUUAAAAUUCAGGGCGUCUGAAGAUGUGCUGCCCUGGGAACGUGACAGUCAUUAUUACUCCACCAACUCUUCAGCUCUUUCUGGUACAUACUCCAGGGCACCGUGACCCCAGUUUAAAACUGCAUUCUGCCAGUGAAAGCUUGCCAGACACAUCUGGGUAGGGCUGUUAUUUAAAGCUCCUUCAGUCACUGCCUGCUACAAGUGAAUGUGGCUUCUAUGUGGCAUGUCUUACCACCUUCUGUAUCAACUAAAUAAUCCGUCCAAAGGCAGUUGGUUGGUCUAUGACAGGAGAGAGCCCCGGAGCACACCCUGUCCUUUCUGUGAGUUUCCCCAAAGGAAGUUCAGAGAGUGUAUAUUUUCUGGAAGUAAAGUUUAUUAUGUUGUUUGAAAAUGUUACUCCGAGCAACAGAUGUUAUUUUUGGAGUCUGUGCAACUUUAUUUUAGAGGGGGAAAAAAAAUGUCUUGGCCGGAGUUAAAAGCUUUCUGGCUGCAAGUGAUUGGUAUACGGGCUUCCCGUCUGGUUUCUUUAGUAGUGCCAUGACCGCUUGCAGGCAGGCAGAGGCAGCAAGCAGUCUACCAGUUUCCACCGGUUUCCAGACUUGGAGUGGUCACCACCCUGCUGUGACUAAUGUCCCCGGGGCUCAGAGAAGCUCCUCUCCCUAACCUUCACUUUGAAGAACCGCAGGGAAAAUGAUGGAGAAUCUGCUCCCGUCCUCGGAAUCAAUUUGGAGUCGGUACAGUUUGUUCCUCUUCAUUUGGCUGUGAAGAACAGCAGUGCGGAGCCUCAAAGGGAGAGCCGAGUAGUCCUCUGUGCUGGGAGGAUUAUUCACAAUUUCCUCUUAUGUGAAAAGUCUCGAAGUGGCACUCUGCCUUAAUGAAGCCAGCACUCUCCCAGAAAACUUCAAUAAGUCCUCUUUGGACGGUCUCCAGAGGACAAGGGUCAAACUUCCAAGAGAAACCUGAUUUCAUUUUUUGCUUUAUUCCCCUUUGCCUUUGACGCCCGUGCUCACGAUCACUCUCUUGUGGUUGGCUCAUUUCUGUGUCAAAGAAAGAAAAGGACACGUGAGUGCUUGGAGAUCAGGUGAGGUCCAAGCCCAGGGAACUGACAGUGUCUUCCAGCCCAGGACUGGAUCUAGAACACAGGGCAGGGUGAGGCUACUGUGUUCUGAUGCUGACUGGUUCUUUGGAAAGCCCCAAAUGCUGUGCUCUGGCUACCCAUGUCAUCGCGCUGUCUUCCCACUGCUUAGGCACCAGUUCCAUUUUGAUUUUUCCUGUCUGCGAUGGCUAAUCAUCAUGGUCAACUUUAUUGGCAUUAAAACCACCUAGGUCAUUAGAGAGGUGCUCUUGUAGAUGAUUCUGUGGGAAGGCGUUUGCCCUAAGGGUUAACUGAGAGGAAGGAGUCCUGCAUGUUGGCAGUUUACCAUCCAAUGGGCUUGGGAUCUGGACAGAAAGGAAAACUCAUCAGCUGAAUCCCCGAAUUCCCCAGCUUUGCCUCCUGUUGCCAUGGUGUGAGCUGCCUUCUCUGCUGUGGUCUCCCUGUUAGGAUGCUCCACCCAGGUACCUGGGAAGGACUCAGCACUGACUGAACCUGAGAAACCAUGAGCCGAAAUAAAAUUUUCUUACCUUAAGAAAUUUUUCACCAAGUAUUUUGUCACAGUACUAAGGAAAAAGAUUCAACUCGUAUCACGGGUCUUGCACUGGAUCCCUGGGUCUUUCCUUACUUUAGAUAUAAUAAUGGCCCUAUAUUACAUGGUGUCUAUUUGGAAAACCUACAGCCAUUCCCCUUUCACUGGAAGAUCUCGACCUGCAGGAGAUAUCAUCCAAUAAAUUACCUCUUUUCCUUAAAAGAAUUAUGCCUUACCCUUUCCUCAAAAUGUUCCUCCUUUCUAACCCAUUUUGUUUUAAAUUUCACAUUCACAUUGAAUCUUAGUUCUUUAAGAACAUUUUGCCGUUCCAGUCAGAUUUGUAUUUUCAUCUGAAAAUUAACACAGGCACCAUUUGCUGCUUAUAGUCAUGAGUGCGUGACUUGAAGUCACAGAAUGAAAUUAAAAAUCUUAAUUUGAAUUCUUUCCUCUCCCCUGUUGUCCCAGUCGGAGUUUCUCUUUCCUUUCUUUCUUUCUUUGCUUUGAAUAUCAUGCCCUCCUCAACAUGACCUGCUUGGCUUCUAUGCCCUCCGUCUGACACUAUUGACUUAGAACAAUGGAAAGCGUUCAUGAUCUCUGGCCAAGGACCAGCUUUGCUUUGGAGAGGGGUUCUGAAGAAGGGGUGCUCAGGAGCAGUGAAAAGAAGAGCUCAAGUCAAACCCUGGGUACAAGAUGACGACCUGUGUUCUGCCCAAGACAGCUUCUCUGGAGACCUUCAGACAGCUUAUCCAUAUAGCUCAUUACUCUUCACAGACCAAAGCUUGGUCUUUUAUUUACAUACUAAUUCAGUCAUUUACUCCUGGUUCACCCCAGGAAUCAUCAUCCCAUGACCCCAGCCCCUUGAUUCUUAGAAAAAGACAUCAAGCACUUUUUUUUUUAACAUUACAAAUGGAUUCAGAGAUGUGCAUGCAUUUGUAAUCACAGACAUUAAGAUAGCUGGGUGGGAUCCCAUCCUGAAAUUACCACUCACACCAUGCCUACGCCCAAACUAGCUCUGUCUGAGGCUAACCUUGAACUCAGGAAUUUGCCUAGCUUUGUAAAAACAAAUAAUAAAUUUUGUGGGAUCUUGCCCUGUGAUCACCACUCCCUAAAUCUCUUUAUCUCCUUCCUUAAUGUCUUUCUGAGAAGCUGGCUCACAGUGCAGCUGCCUCUGUUCUUUUAGGUCCAUGAAGCCCCUCAUACAAGUCAUAUUGCAUCCUUAUGUUUUGCAUAGUUGAGAAAUUAUAUAUUCUUGAACUCAUGUUUUCAGAGUUCUUUCCCACAGACUUAAGGGCUGUCCUGAAGGUCACAACGUUCUACCAUUCUGCUGAAACAUUAGGUGCAUCCCUGUCUCCUGGACUCAUACUAUUUCUGAUUAUCAUGGAGUCAUUAAUCUUGGCAGAGAGGACAUUCCCCAAUAACCUUGCCAGGGAGAACAUGUCCAAAAAGAGGAACAUGAAUUAUGUACAUUAUUAGACAAAUGAGCCUCAUGCCUAGCAACCAUCAACAUUUGUGAAGGCCUGAAUCUUACUGGCUCUGUUCCACAGAUGGGAAACCAUGUCAUACUGUCCCUUCCAGGCCCAUGUAGGACUUGGCAUCCUCUGCUCCAUUCUGUGUUAUUUCAACAAGAGGCAGAAUUAGGGGUCCACAUUUGCACCAGCAGGCUCAAGAGUAAUCAAUAAAUCACUUCAGCCAAGCUUCACAACUGUUGGCUUACCAAGGCCAUUAAGAUGCCACUAACAGGGGAAUUGAAACUGUUUGUGUGAGAUUCUGAGGUCUGAUGAGCGCUUGUCAGGAGGCCCAGGUUCAUUUCUUCACUGUGAUGCUCAGUAGUUGUGUGAUGAUGAGCAGAGCUCAUCUUUCUGAGGCUGUUGUCAGAUAAGAGUAGGGUAAAUAAUGUCUAAGAGUCCAUGAACAGAAGAUCAUAGAUGUAAAGUAAAUCUGAUUGUGACUCUAAAAAAGAGAUACCUUUGUAAUUUAUUUUCCAACCUUGAGAACAAAAAAGAUCUUUGCAGGCAUAGGGAAACACACUGUUUUGUCCACACUUCCUCGUGCCAAUAUUCCCAUCAAUCUUACAUUUUGUGGUCUUGCCUUGGGAGAGGUAAAGAAGGCACUGCCAACUCUCCUUCAGAGGUAAUGAGCUUGAGACUUAAGGGUUGAUGUAGCUAAGAUCACACACACCUUCUAUUAUAUUACUACCUUCUUUUUUCAUUGUGGAUAGAACCUCAACAAAGGUCCCCAAAGAAUGGGCAUUAAAGAGCUGUUUCCAUGGAAUCUGCACAGGUCUUCCAUCUGCUUUAACAAUGUCUUUUACCCCUUAAACAAAAACGAGAAUGUGGGGUAUAUGAGA